rnacentral:rRNA from 1 species
AUUGAACGCUGGCGGCAGGCCUAAUACAUGCGAGUCGAGCGGAUAAACGAAGCUUUCUCCCGGCUUCAGCGGCGGACGGGCGAGUGAUGCACAGGAAUCUGCCUGGUCGUUGGGACUAACGUCAGGUCGCGGGCGCUAAUCCCGCAUCCGUCCAUAUGUUGAACGUGGUGGUUCUUUAGAGAACACGCUAUCUGCUGUGCCUUAUUGGGGUUUCCUCGCCGGAUUGGCUAGUUGGUAAGGUAACGGCUUACCAAGGCGACGAUGCGUAGCCGACCUGAGAGGGUGAUCGGCCACACUGGAACUGAGACACGGUCCAGACUCCUACGGGAGGCAGCAGUAGGGAAUAUUGCGCAAUGGGCGAAAGCCUGACGGAGCAACGCCGCGUGAGUGAUGAAGGUCUUCGGAUCGUAAAACUCUGUUAGUAGGGAAGAACAAAUGUGUAAGUAACUAUGCACGUCUUGACGGUACCUAAUCAGAAAGCAACGGCUAACUACGUG